rnacentral:rRNA from 1 species
CCUACGGGAGGCAGCAGUGAGGAAUAUUGGUCAAUGGGCGUAAGCCUGAACCAGCCAAGUCGCGUGAGGGAUGAAGGUUCUAUGGAUCGUAAACCUCUUUUAUAAGGGAAUAAAGUGUGGGACGUGUCCUAUUUUGUCUGUACCUUAUGAAUAAGGAUCGGCUAACGCCGUGCCAGCAGCCGCGGUAAUACGGGGGAUCCGAGCGUUAUCCGGAUUUAUUGGGUUGAAAGGGUGCGUAGGCGGUCUUUUAAGUCAGCGGUGAAAGUCUGUGGCUCAACCAUAGAAUUGCCGUUGAAACUGGGGGGCUUGAGUAUGUUUGAGGCAGGCGGAAUGCGUGGUGUAGCGGUGAAAUGCUUAGAUAUCACGAAGAACCCCGAUUGCGAAGGCAGCCUGCCAAGCCAUGACUGACGCUGAUGCACGAAAGCGUGGGGAUCAAACAGGAUUAGAUACCCCAGUAGUC